rnacentral:rRNA from 1 species
CCUACGGGGGGCAGCAGUAGGGAAUCUUCGGCAAUGGGGGGAACCCUGACCGAGCAACGCCGCGUGAACGAAGAAGUUAUUCGUAAUGUAAAGUUCUUUUAACAGGGAAGAAAGAGAAAUUUGACGGUACCUGAAGAAUAAGCUCCGGCUAACUACGUGCCAGCAGCCGCGGUAAUACGUAGGGAGCGAGCGUUAUCCGGAAUUAUUGGGCGAAAAGGGUGCGUAGAUGGCAUAGUAAGUCUUUUGUAAAAAUGCUGGGCUAAACCCAGUAGGGCAAAAGAUACUGCAAAGCUAGAGUGUGACAGAGGCAGGUGGAACUACAUGUGUAGCGGUGAAAUGCGUAAAUAUAUGUAAGAACACCAGUGGCGAAGGCGGCUUGCUGGGUCGAUACUGACAUUGAGGCACGAAAGCGUGGGGAGCAAACAGGAUUAGAUACCCGUGUAGUC